rnacentral:ncRNA from 1 species
GGAAGGCGGUGCUGAUUCUGCGGAAGUCAGCCGAGGUCGUAGUAGCCGGAAAACCCGAAAGGGAAUUGCGGUGAAGGGC